CCCAGACUCCUACGGGAGGCAGCAGUGGGGGAUAUUGCACAAUGGGGGAAACCCUGAUGCAGCGACGCCGCGUGGGCGAGGAAGUAUUUCGGUAUGUAAAGCCCUAUCGGCAGGGAAGAAGAAAUGACGGUACCUGAAUAAGGAGCACCGGCUAAAUACGUGCCAGCAGCCGCGGUAAUACGUAUGGUGCAAGCGUUAUCCGGAUUUACUGGGCGUAAAGGGAGCGCAGGCGGCGCGCCAAGUCUGAUGUGAAACCCCGGGGCUCAACCCCGGGCAUGCAUUGGAAACUGGCGGGCUGGAGUGCCGGAGAGGUAAGCGGAAUUCCUAGUGUAGCGGUGAAAUGCGUAGAUAUUAGGAGGAACACCAGUGGCGAAGGCGGCUUACUGGACGGCAACUGACGCUGAGGCUCGAAAGCGUGGGGAGCAAACAGGAUUAGAUACCCGGGUAUA
rnacentral:rRNA from 1 species